rnacentral:snRNA from 1 species
AGCUGCGCAGUGGGCACAAAGCGAACUAUUCUUUCGCCUUUUACUAAAGAAUACCGUGUGCUCGCUGCAAAUAGCUGCGUACUCUAAUUUUUUGAGGGGUUUUUCUACAUAAGGAGAA